rnacentral:rRNA from 1 species
CUGCCUGUAAGACUGGGAUAACUCCGGGAAACCGGGGCUAAUACCGGAUGCUUGUUUGAACCGCAUGGUUCAAACAUAAAAGGUGGCUUCGGCUACCACUUACAGAUGGACCCGCGGCGCAUUAGCUAGUUGGUGAGGUAAUGGCUCACCAAGGCAACGAUGCGUAGCCGACCUGAGAGGGUGAUCGGCCACACUGGGACUGAGACACGGCCCAUACUCCUACGGGAGGCAGCAGU